rnacentral:rRNA from 1 species
GAUGAACGCUGACAGAAUGCUUAACACAUGCAAGUCAUUGGCGAAGCUGCGCUUGCGCAGUCUAGCCAAGGCGGACGGGUGAGUAACGCGUAAGGAACUUGCCCUGCAGACAGGGAUAACAGACGGAAACGACUGAUAACACCUGGUAUUGUCAGGCUGGCGCAUGCCGGCCUGACGAAAGGAGACGCUGCAGGAGAGCCUUGCGUCCUAUUAGCUAGUUGGUGGGGUAACGGCCCACCAAGGCGAUGAUAGGUAGCCGGCCUGAGAGGGUGAACGGCCACAAGGGGACUGAGAUACGGCCCUUACUCCUACGGGAGGCAGCAGUGGGGAAUAUUGGACAAUGGGGGCAACCCUGAUCCAGCAAUUCUGUGUGCACGAAGAAGGUUUUCGGAUUGUAAAGUGCUUUCAGCAGGGAAGAAGAAAGUGACGGUACCUGCAGAAGAAGCGACGGCUAAAUACGUG